AAUUAUAAGUGGUAAGAGGAGAAUUAAAUUAAGAGCAGUAAGCAUCAUGGAUUUAUAAAAACAAGUCAUGUCGGACAAACUUAAUUGCUUUUCCUGAUAGAAUUACCAAAUUAGGGGAUGGCAGUGUACAAUAUCCUGAGAGCAGUUUCCUUCAACAACCAGAUUUCCAGCAUAGUAUUGGAGCGAAAGCACAGAGUCAACCUACGGAAUGCAAAUAAGAAAUAAAGACAAAAUGAAUGUGGCAGAGAUCCUUGGGCAAUUGUGUAAUACCUGAAUCUGGGGCCCAAAGAAGGGUGGGCUCUGGUCUAUCUGAUCGAAUGAGACUGGCCAGGCAAGUUACAUGAUUCCCAUUUAUGCUUGGGCUGAAAUAUGCUGAUGCUGAAGCUGAAACUCCAAUUUUUUGGUCACCUGAUGCGAACAGCUGACUCAUUGGAAAAGACCCAGAUGCUAGGAAAGAUUGAAGGCAGAAGAAGAGAGCAACAGAGGAAAAUAGGGAGACAGAGGAUGAGAUGGUUGGAUGGCAUCACCGAUUCAAUGGACAUGAACUUGGGCAAACUCUGGGAGAUGGUGAAGGACAGGGACGCCUGGCGUGCUGUAGUCCAUGGGCUUCCAAAGAGCUGGACAUGACGAGGAGACUCAACAACAACAUACUUGCCAAAAAAAAAAAAAUUUUUUUAUUUAGUGGUUUGGAGAUGGCAGAGGGGGCUUGUAAAAAGUCAGAUCUACAAAUGUAACA
ensembl:lncRNA